rnacentral:rRNA from 1 species
GUGAACGCUGGCGGUAGGCCUAACACAUGCAAGUCGAACGGCAGCACAGUAAGAGCUUGCUCUUCCGGGUGGCGAGUGGCGGACGGGUGAGGAAUACAUCGGAAUCUACUUUUUCGUGGGGGAUAACGUAGGGAAACUUACGCUAAUACCGCAUACGACCUACGGGUGAAAGCAGGGGAUCUUCGGACCUUGCGCGAUUGAAUGAGCCGAUGUCGGAUUAGCUAGUUGGCGGGGUAAAGGCCCACCAAGGCGACGAUCCGUAGCUGGUCUGAGAGGAUGAUCAGCCACACUGGAACUGAGACACGGUCCAGACUCCUACGGGAGGCAGCAGUGGGGAAUAUUGGACAAUGGGCGCAAGCCUGAUCCAGCCAUACCGCGUGGGUGAAGAAGGCCUUCGGGUUGUAAAGCCCUUUUGUUGGGAAAGAAAAGCGGCAGGUUAAUACCCCGCUGUUCUGACGGUACCCAAAGAAUAAGCACCGGCUAACUUCGUG